GACGAACGCUGGCGGCGUGCCUAAUACAUGCAAGUAGAACGCUGAAGACUUUAGCUUGCUAAAGUUGGAAGAGUUGCGAACGGGUGAGUAACGCGUAGGUAACCUGCCUACUAGCGGGGGAUAACUAUUGGAAACGAUAGCUAAUACCGCAUAACAGCAUUUAACCAAUGUUAGAUGCUUGAAAGGAGCAAUUGCUGCACUAGUAGAUGGACCUGCGGUGUAUUAGCUAGUUGGUGAGGUAACGGCUCACCAAGGCGUCGAUACGUAGCCGACCUGAGAGGGUGAUCGGCCACACUGGGACUGAGACACGGCCCAGACUCCUACGGGAGGCAGCAGUAGGGAAUCUUCGGCAAUGGGGGCAACCCUGACCGAGCAACGCCGCGUGAGUGAAGAAGGUUUUCGGAUCGUAAAGCCCUGUUGUAAGAGAAGAACGUGUGUGAGAGUGGAAAGUUCACACAGUGACGGUAACUUACCAGAAAGGGACGGCUAACUACGUGCCAGCAGCCGCGGUAA
rnacentral:rRNA from 1 species